CACGUAGGGCGCAAGCGUUGUCCGGAAUUAUUGGGCGUAAAGAGCUCGUAGGUGGUUUGCUGCGUCCGCUGUGAAAACCCAAGGCUUAACCUUGGGCUUGCAGUGGAUACGGGCAGACUAGAGGUAGGUAGGGGAGAAUGGAAUUCCUGGUGUAGCGGUGAAAUGCGCAGAUAUCAGGAGGAACACCGGUGGCGAAAGCGGCUCACUGGACCAUAACUGACGCUGAUGCACGAAAGCUGGGGGAGCAAACAGG
rnacentral:rRNA from 1 species